AAAGUAGGGAUGUGGGAGAAGGAGCAGGCCAGGCUGGAGGAAGCUUUGACCCAAGGCACCACGAUCAUAGGGGUGAGAGGACCUAGAGAGGUUCUCACCACCAGGAAC